rnacentral:rRNA from 1 species
GAUGAACGCUAGCGACAGGCUUAACACAUGCAAGUCGAGGGGCAGCGGGGGUGAUGGCUUGCCAUCACCUGCCGGCGACCGGCGCACGGGUGAGUAACACGUAUGCAACCUGCCCGCCACAGGGGGAUAAGCGGAAGAAAUUCCGUCUAAUACCGCGUGACGCGGCGCCGGGGCAUCCCGGUGCCGCCAAAGGGAUUACCGGUGGCGGAUGGGCAUGCGGCGCAUUAGCUAGUCGGCGGGGUAACGGCCCACCGAGGCGACGAUGCGUAGGGGUUCUGAGAGGAAGGUCCCCCACACUGGUACUGAGACACGGACCAGACUCCUACGGGAGGCAGCAGUGAGGAAUAUUGGUCAAUGGGCGCGAGCCUGAACCAGCCAAGUCGCGUGAGGGAUGACGGUCCUACGGAUUGUAAACCUCUUUUGCCGGGGAGCAAGCGUGCGUUCGUGAACGCGCGUCGAGAGUACCCGGAGAAAAAGCAUCGGCUAACUCCGUGCCAGCAGCCGCGGUAAUACGGAGGAUGCGAGCGUUAUCCGGAUUUAUUGGGUUUAAAGGGUGCGUAGGCGGGAUGUCAAGUCAGCGGUAAAAAUGCGGUGCUCAACGCCGUCGAGCCGUUGAAACUGGCGUUCUUGAGUGGGCGAGAAGUAUGCGGAAUGCGUGGUGUAGCGGUGAAAUGCAUAGAUAUCACGCAGAACUCCGAUUGCGAAGGCAGCAUACCGGCGCCCUACUGACGCUGAGGCACGAAAGCGUGGGUAUCGAACAGGAUUAGAUACCCUGGUAGUCCACGCAGUAAACGAUGAAUGCUAACUGUCCGGCUCGAAUGAGCGCUGGGCGGUACAGCGAAAGCGUUAAGCAUUCCACCUGGGGAGUACGCCGGCAACGGUGAAACUCAAAGGAAUUGACGGGGGCCCGCACAAGCGGAGGAACAUGUGGUUUAAUUCGAUGAUACGCGAGGAACCUUACCCGGGCUCAAACGCAGGAUGACGGGUCCCGAAAGGGGUCUUUCUUCGGACAUUCUGCGAGGUGCUGCAUGGUUGUCGUCAGCUCGUGCCGUGAGGUGUCGGCUUAAGUGCCAUAACGAGCGCAACCCCUGUCCACAGUUGCCAGCAGGUAAAGCUGGGGACUCUGUGGAGACUGCCGGCGCAAGCUGCGAGGAAGGCGGGGAUGACGUCAAAUCAGCACGGCCCUUACGUCCGGGGCGACACACGUGUUACAAUGGCAGGUACAGCGGGAUGCCACGGGGCGACCCGGCGCUGAACCCGAAAACCUGUCUCAGUUCGGAUUGGAGUCUGCAACCCGACUCCAUGAAGCUGGAUUCGCUAGUAAUCGCGCAUCAGCCACGGCGCGGUGAAUACGUUCCCGGGCCUUGUACACACCGCCCGUCAAGCCAUGGAAGCCGGGGGUACCUGAAGUGCGUGACCGCGAGGAGCGCCCUAGGGUAAAACCGGUGACUGGGGCUAAGUCGUAACAAGGUAGCCGUACCGGAAGGUGCGGCUGGAACACCUCCUUUCUGGAGCGGACGCGUGUUUGCGUCCGGGCCGUCCGGCCGUUGUUUUGAGAAGAUGUCGGAGUCGCGCCUGUACACUCUUGGUUCUAUUGCAAUUGGGGGAUUAGCUCAGCUGGCUAGAGCACCUGCUUUGCAAGCAGGGGGUCAACGGUUCGAAUCCGUUAUUCUCCACACUGAAAGAGAGCACAUUGACAUGUUGGAAGCCGGAUACGGCCUUUUUAAAGGGUCGUAUCAUAAAGGUAAAAUCACGAGCAAAUCAAAAAAGAAUAAGAACAGAACACAGAGCGUAAGCCGAGUAAAGUUCUGACGCGAAAAAGGCGACUUUGCUUAGGAAUAAGGAAAGGAGAGAAGGGCACAUGAAGGAUGCCUUGGCUCUCGGAGGCGACGAAGGACGUGACAAGCUGCGAUAAGCCGUGCGUAGGGGCAAAUACCCGUAUGAUGCGCGGAUUUCCGAAUGGGGCAACCCGGCGCGCGCAGGCGCGCCAUCCGCCUAUGGCGGAAGCGAACCCGGGGAACUGAAACAUCUCACUACCCGGAGGAAAAGAAAACAAAAGUGAUUGCGCAAGUAGUGGCGAGCGAACGCGCAGAAGCCCAAACCGGAGCUGUCGAGGCAGCAUCCGGGGUUGUAGGACCGCCGAUAAAGCUUACACCGUGACGGUUAGCAGAAGGGCCUGGAAAGGCCCGCCGCAGAGGGUGAGAGCCCCGUAAGCGACAACCGUCAGGUGGGCGAGGCGGCACCUGAGUAGUGCGGGACACGAGAAAUCCUGCAUGAACCCGCGGGGACCAUCCCGUAAGGCUAAAUACUACCGAGAGACCGAUAGCGAACC